rnacentral:rRNA from 1 species
GGGUGAGUAACACGUAGGGGACCUGCCCGUGCACCGGGAAUACGCUCUGGAAACGGAGAACAAAUCCCGAUGUACAGGAAGGAGGCAUCUUCUUUCUGUGAAACAUCCUUCAGGGGAUGGGGCGCGGAUGGACCUGCGGUGCAUUAGUUGGUUGGCGGGGUAAAGGCCCACCAAGACGAUGAUGCAUAGCCGGCCUGAGAGGGCGGACGGCCACAUUGGGACUGAGACACGGCCCAGACUCCUGCGGGAGGCAGCAGUAGGGAAUUUUCGUCAAUGGGCGCAAGCCUGAACGAGCGAUGCCGCGUGAGUGAAGAAGGCCUUCGGGUCGUAGAGCUCUGUUGCGGGGGAAAAAAGGCAGCAUCAGGAAAUGGGUGCUGACUGAUGGUGCCCCGCCAGAAAGUCACGGCUAACUACGUGCCAGCAGCCGCGGUAAUACGUAGGUGGCGAGCGUUAUCCGGAAUGAUUGGGCGUAAAGGGUGCGCAGGCGGUCCUGCAAGUCUGGAGUGAAACGCAUGAGCUCAACUCAUGCAUGGCUUUGGAAACUGGAGGACUGGAGAGCAGGAGAGGGCGGUGGAACUCCAUGUGUAGCGGUAAAAUGCGUAGAUAUAUGGAAGAACACCAGUGGCGAAGGCGGCCGCCUGGCCUGUUGCUGACGCUGAGGCACGAAAGCGUGGGGAGCAAAUAGGAUUAGAUACCCUAGUAGUCCACGCCGUAAACGAUG